ensembl:snoRNA F58D5.11 ncRNA
UAGAUAUUUCGGUUUUUUUUUCGAAAUUUCUUUCCCGGAAUUCGAUAGUACAAAUACAGGUAUUCCCCCGUCCCGUUUUCAUU